rnacentral:rRNA from 1 species
UACAGAGGGUGCGAGCGUUGUCCGGAAUCACUGGGCGUAAAGGGCGCGUAGGCGACCUGAUAAGUAGGGGGUGAAAUCCUGUGGCUUAACUGCAGGGCUGCCUCCUAGACUGUUAGGCUCGAGCACGGUAGAGGCAGAUGGAAUUCCCGGUGUAGCGGUGGAAUGCGUAGAGAUCGGGAAGAACAUCGGUGGCGAAGGCGGUCUGCUGGGCCGUUGCUGACGCUGAGGCGCGACAGCGUGGGGAGCAAACAGG